rnacentral:rRNA from 1 species
UACGGAGGGUGCAAGCGUUAUCCGGAUUCACUGGGUUUAAAGGGUGCGUAGGAGGGCAGGUAAGUCAGUGGUGAAAUCUCCGAGCUUAACUCGGAAACUGCCGUUGAUACUAUCUGUCUUGAAUACCGUGGAGGUGAGCGGAAUAUGUCAUGUAGCGGUGAAAUGCUUAGAUAUGACAUAGAACACCAAUUGCGAAGGCAGCUCACUACACGAGCAUUGACUCUGAGGCACGAAAGUGUGGGGAUCAAACAGG